AAAAACACACACUCACACCCACAAAACACACACAAUACAGACACAUACAACCCACUAACACCCCAGUCUUUCAAUAGGCUUCAAGACUCUCCUUUAUCCAGGGUUGAAAAGAGAGUGCAGGUUCCUGGCUCCAGCAGCAACCCACAAUCUCAUCUCGUCCUUAAAUCCGUCUUCUAAGGUUGAAAGGCAGGGUCGAGCACCAUCAAAAACACACCUGUUUCGCUGCUUCCAAAUAUUCCAAGCCCCAAG
rnacentral:lncRNA from 1 species